GUGCUCCUACGGGAGGCAGCAGUGGGGAAUAUUGCACAAUGGGGGAAACCCUGAUGCAGCGACGCCGCGUGAGUGAGGAAGUAUUUCGGUAUGUAAAGCUCUAUCAGCAGGGAAGAAAAUGACGGUACCUGACUAAGAAGCCCCGGCUAACUACGUGCCAGCAGCCGCGGUAAUACGUAGGGGGCAAGCGUUAUCCGGAUUUAUUGGGUUUAAAGGGUGCGUAGGCGGACUGUCAAGUCAGCGGUAAAAUACGGGGGCUCAACCUCCGCCCGCCGUUGAAACUGACGGUCUUGAGUGGGCGAGAA
rnacentral:rRNA from 1 species